rnacentral:rRNA from 1 species
AUGAACGCUGGCGGAAUGCUUUACACAUGCAAGUCGAACGGCAGCACGGAGAGCUUGCUCUCUGGUGGCGAGUGGCGAACGGGUGAGUAAUAUAUCGGAACGUAUCCAGUAAUGGGGGAUAACGAGUCGAAAGAUUCGCUAAUACCGCAUACGCCCUACGGGGGAAAGCAGGGGAUCGUAAGACCUUGCGUUAAUGGAGCGGCCGAUAUCUGAUUAGCUUGUUGGUGAGGUAAAGGCUCACCAAGGCGACGAUCAGUAGCUGGUUUGAGAGAACGACCAGCCACACUGGAACUGAGACACGGUCCAGACUCCUACGGGAGGCAGCAGUGGGGAAUUUUGGACAAUGGGGGCAACCCUGAUCCAGCCAUUCCGCGUGAGUGAAGAAGGCCUUCGGGUUGUAAAGCUCUUUCGCAAGGGAAGAAAACUUAUGAUCGAAUAAAUCAUGAGGUUGACGGUACCUUGAUAAGAAGCACCGGCUAACUACGUGCCAGCAGCCGCGGUAAUACGUAGGGUGCGAGCGUUAAUCGGAAUUACUGGGCGUAAAGCGUGCGCAGGCGGUUUUGUAAGUCGGAUGUGAAAUCCCCGGGCUCAACCUGGGAACUGCGUUCGAAACUGCAAGGCUAGAGUGUGUCAGAGGGGGGUAGAAUUCCACGUGUAGCAGUGAAAUGCGUAGAGAUGUGGAGGAAUACCAAUGGCGAAGGCAGCCCC